CCUCUGCUUGAAACCAAGAGCCUCUCACUCGAUCUUUCGUUCUUCUGCCCCCUCUUCUUCCCCCUUCCUUCUAUCUGAAACCAUUCUAUCCCCUCGUCUUCCCCCUUUCCUCCGCCUGAAACCAAGGGCCUCUCAUUCGAUCUUCCAUUCUUUUAGAGCAUUUCUCUAGGUCCUAGGCUGUGCGAGCACACCAGCAUGACAUCUAGAUAAAUUUCAUCUUGGAGGUUCCAAAGUAUCGAGUAGAAUUGUAAAUAAGAUUGAAAAUAGGCCGGGUUGGGCUAAGUCAUACCCCUCCUUGAGUCCGAUCUGAAAAUUUUUUGGACUUCGGACCGAAACUAGAGCCUAGAGAAAUACUCCUCCGACCGUCGUUGG
rnacentral:lncRNA from 1 species